AUUGAACGCUGGCGGCAGGCCUAACACAUGCAAGUCGAACGGUAACAGGAAGAAGCUUGCUUCUUUGCUGACGAGUGGCGGACGGGUGAGUAAUGUCUGGGAAACUGCCUGAUGGAGGGGGAUAACUACUGGAAACGGUAGCUAAUACCGCAUAACGUCGCAAGACCAAAAAGGGGGACCUUCGGGCCUCUUGCCAUCGGAUGUGCCCAGAUGGGAUUAGCUAGUAGGUGGGGUAACGGCUCACCUAGGCGACGAUCCCUAGCUGGUCUGAGAGGAUGACCAGCCACACUGGAACGGAGACACGGUCCAGACUCCUACGGGAGGCAGCAGUGGGGAAUAUUGCACAAUGGGCGCAAGCCUGAUGCAGCCAUGCCGCGUGUAUGAAGAAGGCCUUCGGGUUGUAAAGUACUUUCAGCGGGGAGGAAGGGAGUAAAGUUAAUACCUUUGCUCAUUGACGUUACCCGCAGAAGAAGCACCGGCUAACUCCGUG
rnacentral:rRNA from 1 species